GAUGAACGCUAGCUACAGGCUUAACACAUGCAAGUCGAGGGGCAGCGCAGUGUAGCAAUACAUGGGCGGCGACCGGCGCACGGGUGCGUAACGCGUAUCCAACCUUCCCGUUACUCAGGGAUAGCCUUCCGAAAGGGAGAUUAAUACCUGAUGGUGUUUGAAUUCCGCAUGUUAUUCAAACUAAAGAUUUAUCGGUAACGGAUGGUGAUGCGUGACAUUAGAUAGUAGGCGGGGUAACGGCACACCUAGUCUACGAUGUCUAGGGGUUCUGAGAGGAAGGUCCCCCACACUGGAACUGAGACACGGUCCAGACUCCUACGGGAGGCAGCAGUGAGGAAUAUUGGUCAAUGGUCGGAAGACUGAACCAGCCAAGUAGCGUGAAGGAUGAAGGUUCUAUGGAUUGUAAACUUCUUUUAUACGGGAAUAAAACCACCUACGUGUAGGUGCUUGUAUGUACCGUAUGAAUAAGCAUCGGCUAACUCCGUGCCAGCCGCCGCCGUAACAC
rnacentral:rRNA from 1 species